rnacentral:rRNA from 1 species
CCAGACUCCUACGGGAGGCAGCAGUGGGGAAUAUUGCACAAUGGGGGAAGCCCUGAUGCAGCGACGCCGCGUGAGCGAUGAAGUAUUUCGGUAUGUAAAGCUCUAUCAGCAGGGAAGAAAAUGACGGUACCUGACUAAGAAGCCCCGGCUAACUACGUGCCAGCAGCCGCGGUAAUACGUAGGGGGCAAGCGUUAUCCGGAUUUACUGGGUGUAAAGGGAGCGUAGACGGUCCUGCAAGCCAGAUGUGAAAGCCCGGGGCUCAACCCCGGGACUGCAUUUGGAACUGUAAGGCUAGAGUGUCGGAGAGGCAGGCGGAAUUCCUAGUGUAGCGGUGAAAUGCGUAGAUAUUAGGAGGAACACCAGUGGCGAAGGCGGCCUACUGGACGGUGACUGACGCUGAGGCUCGAAAGCGUGGGGAGCAAACAGGAUUAGAUACCCGAGUAC